GGAAACUGUAUGCUCCCCAAGGGUAGAGACUAUCUUCCAAUUGGAGAUUUAAAUGCGUAUCGAUCAGAAUACCGCGCUGCAGGAAAAAUACACAAAGAAGAACAAGGAAGCCCUUAAAGUACCAGUGUGGAACAAUCACCAAGAUAUAUCACUAAGCGGAAACAUAACUCUGCAAGAAUACAAUAUACAGGAAGACACUCUCUCAAUGCUGGGCAGCAGCAGUGAGCCUCAGAUCUCAGUCAGCCCCAUGAUCACGAGGCUAAACUAUUGACACUCUGCAAUGUGUUGUGUGGCCAGAUGAUUUUG
rnacentral:lncRNA from 1 species